UGGUGGAGUGAUCUGUCUGGUUGAUUCCGUUAACGAACGAGACUUCCGCUAUCUAAUUUGCUGAGGAUGCUUUGCAUCCAACGCUAAUUAGAGGGACUUUAUGUGCUGAGCAUAAGGAAGAGGGAGGCAAUAACA
rnacentral:rRNA from 1 species